ACGGGAGGCAGCAGUGGGGAAUAUUGCACAAUGGGCGCAAGCCUGAUGCAGCGAUGCCGCGUGAGGGAAGAAGGUUUUCGGAUUGUAAACCUCUGUCAACAGGGACGAAAAUGACUGUACCUGUGAAGGAAGCUCCGGCUAACUACGUGCCAGCAGCCGCGGUAAUACGUAGGGGGCAAGCGUUAUCCGGAUUUACUGGGUGUAAAGGGAGCGUAGACGGAAUAGCAAGUCUGAAGUGAAAUGUAGGGGCUCAACCCCUGAACUGCUUUGGAAACUGUUGAUCUUGAGUACCGGAGGGGCAGGCGGAAUUCCUGGUGUAGCGGUGAAAUGCGUAGAUAUCAGGAAGAACACCGGUGGCGAAGGCGGCCUGCUGGACGGUAACUGACGUUGAGGCUCGAAAGCGUGGGGAGCAAACAGGAUUAGAUACCCUGGUA
rnacentral:rRNA from 1 species